rnacentral:lncRNA from 1 species
GGCCCAGAGAUGUCUGAGCUAGUGAUGCAGAUGUUUGGUGUUGUGCGGGGGCCCAGAGAUGUCUGAGCUAGCGACGCAGAUGAUGUUAGUGCGGGGGUACAUAGACAGACUGUACUAUCGACACAGCGGGUAUGUAUAUCUUUAUGAGGAAAUGCAUGGUGCAGAGAGUAGCUACGCAUUAAGCGCACGGGUUGUAGGGACUACUUCUCUAGCCACAUAUUAAUUGUUCUGUGUGGUGUAGUAGGCACCGUGUUUGUUUCAUGCUAGAGCUAGGCCUACAUAGUUGUAGUGCUAUAAACUCAGUCAGUGGUUUGCGGUUUAGCAUCUCAUACCUCGCUGGGCAACUCCCUUGUUGCUCACCCCUCCUUUCUUCCUCCUUUCAGGUUAGACUAUCGACCAGGAGUGAUUACAUCGGUUUGGUGCUUUGGGUGCUAUUGGGCUUUUGGGCUUUUGAUGUUUCCGCUUAUUUACACAUUUCGGA